rnacentral:tRNA from 1 species
ACUAAUUUGGCAGAUUUAAGUGCAUUAGAUUUAGAAUCUAUUUAUAUUGUUUUAACAUUAAUUAGUA